ensembl:lncRNA
AUCAGCGUUACAGUAGACACAGUCAUAGAAAUAAUUUUUCAUUGUUGUGUGUUUUUUUGUUGUUUAGCCCCACCUGUUUCCGUAUCUCGGCCUCUUCAUAAGGGAUAUCGGCUGCUUCACAUUCAGAUCAUUUCAAUUUGUUAAGCUGCGCUCUCACACACAGAAUAUUUCACCUCCACAUCCAACACCGACGUUGCGUUUGUUCCAGAUGGAGGUCUCCAGGAUGCGGUCCGCCUGGGCGGCUCUCUGCACCGCCGUGCUAGUGAUGUCAGGCUCUGCUGAAGGUGCUAGUUUGGUGACGUUAAAAGCGGCGAACACAGAACCAUCAUACUCUUAUGACUUAACCAUGGACGUCACCAACCGCAUCUACAGUGAUUCUCUCCUCAACCCUAACUCUCACGACUAUAAUAUGAUGUUUGGGGAAGUUAGCAGUGCGCUCUACUCUGUCUACGGCUGCCCCACUUGCGACACACGCACAUUUUAUCAAGGUGUAACAGCCAUGACCUUCAGUAACAAGGCUGGAUCUGUGGUUGUUCAGGCCACCAUCAUGUUCAGCUCAAGGCACACCAAUGCUGUGGUUAUUAAAUUCCUAUUUCUGUCAGCCAUCAGUGACAAAAAUGAAAUAAAUGGCCUGAAAAUCAACCCUGACUUCAUACAGGUCAUACAAGGAUCAGCUCCUGCACCGAUGAGCACUUCCCAUCCAACCACUACUCCUAGCCCUACUCCUACCACUACUACUCCAACUCCUACUACUUCUACCACUACUCCUAGCCCUACUCCUACCACUACUACUCCAACUCCUACUACUACAACUAUUUGUGGCACGAUUCCUCCAAGUACUCCUAACACUUCUCC